rnacentral:tRNA from 1 species
GGAUUGUGGCUCAGCGGCAGAACGCUCCCCUAGCAUGGGUGGGACCCGGGUUUGAUCCUCAGCACCA